GACAGAGGGUGCAAACGUUGUUCGGAAUUACUGGGCGUAAAGCGUGCGCAGGCGGUUCGUUGUGUCGGUGGUGAAAGCCCCGGGCUUAACCUGGGAAUGGCCAUGGAAACUGGCGAACUGGAGUGUGGCAGAGGGGGGUGGAAUUCCGCGUGUAGCAGUGAAAUGCGUAGAGAUGCGGAGGAACACCGAUGGCGAAGGCAGCCCCCUGGGCUAGCACUGACGCUCAGGCACGAAAGCGUGGGGAGCAAACGGG
rnacentral:rRNA from 1 species